rnacentral:rRNA from 1 species
UUACCUCAGUAACGGCGAGUGAAGCGGUAACAGCUCAAAUUUGAAAUCUGGCGCUUUCAGCGUCCGAGUUGUAAUUUGUAGAAGAUGCUUUGGGUGUGGCUCCGGUCUAAGUUCCUUGGAACAGGACGUCAUAGAGGGUGAGAAUCCCGUAUGUGACUGGCUGCCUUCGCCCGUGUAAAGCUCUUUCGACGAGUCGAGUUGUUUGGGAAUGCAGCUCUAAAUGGGAGGUAUAUUUCUUCUAAAGCUAAAUAUUGGCCAGAGACCGAUAGCGCACAAGUAGAGUGAUCGAAAGAUGAAAAGCACUUUGGAAAGAGAGUUAAACAGUACGUGAAAUUGUUGAAAGGGAAGCGCUUGCAACCAGACUUGCCUGCGGUCGAUCAUCCUGGGUUCUCCCUGGUGCACUCGAUCGUGGUCAGGCCAGCAUCGGUUUCGGUGGUGGGAUAAAGGCCUUGGGAAUGUAGCAGUCUUCGGGCUGUGUUAUAGCCCUCGGUGCAAUGCCGCCUACCGGGACCGAGGACCGCGCUUCGGCUAGGAUGCUGGCGUAAUGGUUGUAAGCGACCCGUCUUGAAACACGGACCAAGGAGUCUAACAUCUAUGCGAGUGUUUGGGUGUUAAACCCAUACGCGUAAUUAACGUGAACGGAGGUGAGAACCCUUAAGGGUGCAUCAUCGACCGAUCCUGAUGUCUUCGGAUGGAUUUGAGUAAGAGCAUAGCUGUUGGGACCCGAAAGAUGGUGAACUAUGCCUAAAUAGGGUGAAGCCAGAGGAAACUCUGGUGGAGGCUCGCAGCGGUUCUGACGUGCAAAUCGAUCGUCAAAUUUGGGUAUAGGGGCGAAAGACUAAUCGAACCAUUGAAGUACUAGGUGGGCAAGAGCCCCGCGAACACGCGGGGCUAGUCGGCGAUCAGCCGGCAACACUGUCAAAGUGCGGGGACCUCCUGUCGACGCAUCGCUACCGCAGCCCUACGCGAAAGCGGGGGUGCGCACCGGGUUAACGACCCUGGGGAUGGUAAGAACGCGAUGCCGAAGGACGACCUGCAGCCAAGCCCUAUCCACGGGUGCCGUUCACAGACUAAAUGUCAGUGGGACCCUCGGGUCUUAAGUUAUAGUCG